rnacentral:rRNA from 1 species
AACGAACGCUGGCGGCAUGCCUAACACAUGCAAGUCGAACGAGACCUGCGGGUCCAGGGGCGCACGGGUGCGUAACGCGUGGGAACCUGCCCUUAGGUUGGGAAUAACUCCCCGAAAGGGGUGCCAAUACCGGAUAAUGUCUUGGGACCAAAGAUUUAUCGCCUUUGGGUGGGCCCGCGUUGGAUUAGCUAGUUGGUAGGGUAAAAGCCUACCAAGGCGACGAUCCAUAGCUGGUCUGAGAGGAUGAUCAGCCACACUGGGACUGAGACACGGCCCAGACUCCUACGGGAGGCAGCAGUGGGGAAUAUUGCACAAUGGGCGAAAGCCUGAUCCAGCAAUGCCGCGUAAGUGAUGAAGGCCUUAGGGUUGUAAAGCUCUUUUACCCGGGAUGAUAAUGACAGUACCUGGAGAAUAAGCUCCGGCUAACUCCGUG